rnacentral:rRNA from 1 species
AUUGAACGCUGGCGGCAGGCUUAACACAUGCAAGUCGAGCGAGCGGCGGACGGGUGAGUAAUGUCUGGGAAACUGCCUGAUGGAGGGGGAUAACUACUGGAAACGGUAGCUAAUACCGCAUACCAUCAGAUGAACCCAUAUGGGAUUAGCUAGUAGGUGGGGUAAUGGCUCACCUAGGCGACGAUCCCUAGCUGGUCUGAGAGGAUGACCAGCCACACUGGGACUGAGACACGGUCCAGACUCCUACGGGAGGCAGCAGUGGGGAAUAUUGCACAAUGGGCGCAAGCCUGAUGCAGCCAUGCCGCGUGUAUGAAGAAGGCCUUCGGGUUGUAAAGUACUUUCAGUCGGGAGGCGUUACCGACAGAAGAAGCACCGGCUAACUCCGUGCCAGCAGCCGCGGUAAUAC